AUAUCGGAACGUGCCCAGUAGUGGGGGAUAGCCCGGCGAAAGCCGGAUUAAUACCGCAUACGACCUACGGGUGAAAGCGGGGGAUCGCAAGACCUCGCGUUAUUGGAGCGGCCGAUAUCAGAUUAGCUUGUUGGCGGGGUAAAAGCCCACCAAGGCGACGAUCUGUAGCUGGUCUGAGAGGACGACCAGCCACACUGGGACUGAGACACGGCCCAGACUCCUACGGGAGGCAGCAGUGGGGAAUUUUGGACAAUGGGCGCAAGCCUGGAUCCAGCCAUGCCGCGUUGUGGGAACGAAGGCCUUCGGGUUGUAAACCACUUUUGUCAGGGAAGAAACGGCUCUUACUAAUUUUAGGAGCUAAUGACGGUACCUGAAGAAUAAGCACCGGCUAACUACGUGCCAGCAGCCGCGGUAAUACGUAGGGUGCAAGCGUUAAUCGGAAUUACUGGGCGUAAAGCGUGCGCAGGCGGCUUUGCAAGACAGAUGUGAAAUCCCCGGGCUCAACCUGGGAACUGCAUUUGUGACUGCAUGGCUAGAGUACGGUAGAGGGGGAUGGAAUUCCGCGUGUAGCAGUGAAAUGCGUAUAUAUGCGGAAGGAACACCGAUGGGCGAAGGCAAUCCCCCUGGACCUGUACUGACGCUCAUGCACCAAAGCGUGGGGAGCAAACCGG
rnacentral:rRNA from 1 species